rnacentral:tRNA from 1 species
GCCCAGGUGGCGGAAUUGGUAGACGCAGCAGACUCAAAAUCUGCCGCCUUCACAGGUGUGCUGGUUCGAUUCCAGUCCUGGGCA